CAGUAGCCGCGGGAAUACGUAGGUGGCAAGCGUUGUCCGGAAUUAUUGGGCGUAAAGGGCUCGCAGGCGGUUUCUUAAGUCUGAUGUGAAAGCCCCCGGCUCAACCGGGGAGGGUCAUUGGAAACUGGGAAACUUGAGUGCAGAAGAGGAGAGUGGAAUUCCACGUGUAGCGGUGAAAUGCGUAGAGAUGUGGAGGAACACCAGUGGCGAAGGCGACUCUCUGGUCUGUAACUGACGCUGAGGAGCGAAAGCGUGGGGAGCGAACAGGAUUAGAGACCCGUGUAGUCCCUGUCUCUUAUAC
rnacentral:rRNA from 1 species